CGGCCUUAGUCAGAGGCGGCUCGGGGCAGCGCGGCCCGCAUGGUGUCUCCCAAGCCUGGUCUCAGGGGUUCCUGCCCCCAGCCGUUCUGCCAGAUGACACUGAGCCAGGAGCCCUCAGGGUUCUAGAUGCCCCAGCCUCUGUGACAUCGUCCUGCCACCUGGGCCUGGGGCUGCUGGGACCUUCCCAGGCCCCCGACUGGGCCCAGGCGCCUCUGAAAACCCGCUCAAAGCUCAAAGCUCAGCGCACCUCGGCUCCCAGCACUCAGGGACCCACAGAGGGACCAGUGUCCCCAACACGGGUUCAGUCCUCAAAAGCCCACAGAGAAGAUGCCAUUGUCACCCUCCUCUGAGACUCCAGAGGACCUGGCUUGUUGCCCCCCAUGGGUUCAGUCUUAAGACCAAAGCCACUCCCCUACCCUGCCCCCGGCCCCCUGCCAGCCACAGUUCCCUGCUGGCCUCCAGCACGGCUCUGCCCUGCCUCAGGGCCUUUGCACGACUGCACCUGUGCCUGGAGACCCUCCGUCCUCCAGAGCCCAGGCCCCUGGUCACCUAAUCCAGAGCAGCCCCUGCACCCCACCUCGGAGUUCUGACUGCGCGUCCCUCGAGCGCAGGGCCUCGACUACUAUCUGCCUCCCCCAUGGACCACAAGUUCCUGGGGAGAGGCCUCGGCUGUCCUCAGCCUCCAGAAGAGCCCCUGGCACAUAGUAGGUCCUCGGUAUACAUCUGUGAAGGAACCAGCGGUCCUCAACGCCCAUUUUAUGAAUGAGACCAUAAAAUUCAGAAUCCCGGCUCGCCGGCAGGGCGCUAAGUCCCCUUCUGUGGGCACUCAGCACCCGCCACCCCCGCCUACUUCUCCUUCAAACUCAGCGUGGGGGGCGGGGGCAGGGGGACAGGUGGAGCUCAGGAAGGCGGCCAGAGCAGACCUCGGGGACAUCAGAGGCCCCACCCUGGAGCUUCCUCUCUGUAGGGAGUCGGGGAGCUGGAGGUGCCACACUCCCUUCUCCAUCUUUCUGCUCCGUCCACGUCUUACCACUGGACGGUCAUGGACUUAAGAGAACCCGUCAGUUUGUGUCACUAGGAGACCUGGAGUGUGGGCCUCAGGUGCGGCUGGCUCCAGGCACUGGAAAUGGCAAUCAGGAAGGUGCUUCUCUCCCUCUUGGAUUGCCUCGUGCUGUCUGGGCUGGGCUCAGUUGGUCAGGCCUGCAUCUGGCCAGCUCGGCCACCGGGAGCAAAGCUCUCAUUAGGCCCCCUCUGGGGGGGGGAGGCUGGCUUUGCCAUUUUGGCGAGGGGGGGACAGGGCUGCUGCUUUCUCCUGUUUCCCGUCAGGGUCUGGACACGGAGGCCAGCGCGGACCACAGCCUUCCCAAGGGAGGCUCUUCACGACGCUGCCUCCAGCCGCGGCCUCCCCCUCGCUGCGGAUCGCGACGCUCCUCCGGCCUCGGCUCAGCUUCGCCGGGCGCCCCAGCGUCGCGCGCGGUUCUUGCUGGUGACCCGCAGUCUGCGCUGCCCUCUGGGCGCGACUCGCCUCUCAGUGAAGGACGACAACGGUACCACCUACCUCUGGCGACAUCUGCUCGGGGCCAACGGCAGGGCGUGUCCGAGGGCUCUUCUUGUGGCGCAAGUGGACUCUGAGCGUCGAGGGGCAGGGCAGGGCAGCCGGCCUGCGGGCCCCACCCCUGCUCCAGGUGACACACAGAGGAUUCAGGCAGCUUGAAGGCCAAAUGCCACCUUCCUGGAUACAGCUGAGCUGCCCCAGUGAGGCCAGAGAGCUGGGAACGCGGCUGGCGGGGCCAUGGCACAGAGGGAGCAUGAGGAAGAAUGGGUAAGGAAAGUGAAAGAAGACCCUGGAGGUCCUAGUGGACCACAGCAAGAUUUCCCUGUGUUCCAGGUGCAAUCAAGAUUCCAGGGGGCCAGGGAUUGACUCACAUCUUGACGUUGUCUCCGGCGGAAUAGAUUGAAGGGUGGUGAGGGUGGCCAUGAGGACCAGGGCAGUCGUCCUGCAGGGAGCCAUGGUGGAGACUGGAGAAUGGGGACGGGAGGAGGGACAGACUGGGACAGUUUGAGCUCAUCUAAGCCUUGACUGACGCCAACUGAAAACCUGGCUCCGCGCCCUCCUGGUGGGAGGCAGGGAGGGAAGGGCUCCGUCUCCUCGUCCCCCCGGAGGCCUCUGUGCCCACGAGGGGCUGUGCGGGGUCCUCCGCGCAGGGACCAUCACUGGCGGCCAGGCUCUGGAGGGCGCCUGCCUCCUCAGCCUCCCUGCCUCCGUCCUGGGCUCCACUCCCCCUCGCUGUCUCCCUUUACCCACAAUGCACUUCACAGCGGCUCCCGCUGCCCCGUCCUGACCUCGGGGCACCCCUCACCCCAGGGGACCCCUGAUUCUGCUCCUGCCCUGAAAAACGCCAGCCCCUCGGCUCAGGACCCACCAAAUAGGGCUCCUUGUCCAUCGCUGGCAGGACACGGGUGGCAGCCUGCCCGGGGACAGCGGGGGAAACUGGGUCACACCCGGAUGCGCUCCCGUGACCGAAACACCUCGCGGCGGUUCUGCCCAGUGCCAGAAGCCCUUUGACUCAGAAAUUCCAUCUGUGGCCUUUCAUCUCGCGGUGACACCGGCUGAGUGCAGUGUGACCGUGACUGGAGACAGAGCAACUGUGUUCCCAGCCAGAGGAAGCGAGCCAGCAGCUCCCGGCCUGGCCAGGCAGAGGAGUACUCCACGGCCCUGAAAAGGAGCGGGGCGCCCCCACGUGCUGACGUGGCGCAGGGGAAGACGGGAAGGGCUGAGCGCGCAGGCGAGGGCACCCGGCACUGUUGGCCAAGCAGGGAGAAGCCCCCACUCGCCUCCCGCGCACUGGGCGCACACGCUGCACACCUGCGGCUCCAAGCACCGGUUGUGAGCGUGAGGCAGAAACUCUGGUGGGCUGAAGGGGCACAGACGGUUCUCUUGUCCCCCAGCAGCCCAGCGCUCUGGCCUCCCCACGACCAAUAAAAGUGUUGCCAUCAGGA